rnacentral:rRNA from 1 species
UACAGAGGUGGCAAGCGUUGUUCGGAAUUACUGGGCGUAAAGGGCGCGUAGGCGGCCUUCUAAGUCAGACGUGAAAUCCCCCGGCUUAACCUGGGAACUGCGUCUGAUACUGGAAGGCUUGAGUUCGGGAGAGGGAUGUGGAAUUCCAGGUGUAGCGGUGAAAUGCGUAGAUAUCCGGAGGAACACCGGUGGCGAAGGCGGCAUCCUGGACCGAAACUGACACUGAGGCGCGAAAGCCAGGGGAGCAAACGGG